GGUUAAGCGACUAAGCGUACACGGUGGAUGCCCUGGCAGUCAGAGGCGAUGAAGGACGUGCUAAUCUGCGAAAAGCGUCGGUAAGGUGAUAUGAACCGUUAUAGCCGGCGAUGUCCGAAUGGGGAAACCCAGUGCAAUUCGUUGCACUAUCGUUAACUGAAUACAUAGGUUAACGAGGCGAACCGGGGGAACUGAAACAUCUAAGUACCCCGAGGAAAAGAAAUCAACCGAGAUUCCCCCAGUAGCGGCGAGCGA
rnacentral:rRNA from 1 species